UGGGGAAUAUUGGACAAUGGGCGAAAGCCUGAUCCAGCCAUGCCGCGUGUGUGAAGAAGGUCUUCGGAUUGUAAAGCACUUUAAGUUGGGAGGAAGGGCAGUAAGCUAAUACCUUGCUGUUUUGACGUUACCGACAGAAUAAGCACCGGCUAACUCUGUGCCAGCAGCCGCGGUAAUACAGAGGGUGCAAGCGUUAAUCGGAAUUACUGGGCGUAAAGCGCGCGUAGGUGGUUUGUUAAGUUGGAUGUGAAAGCCCCGGGCUCAACCUGGGAACUGCAUCCAAAACUGGCAGGCUAGAGUACGGUAGAGGGUGGUGGAAUUUCCUGUGUAGCGGUGAAAUGCGUAGAUAUAGGAAGGAACACCAGUGGCGAAGGCGACCACCUGGACUGAUACUGACACUGAGGUGCGAAAGCGUGGGGGGCAAACA
rnacentral:rRNA from 1 species